GGGAUUACCUUAGUAACGGCGAGUGAAGCGGUAAAAGCUCAAAUUUGAAAUCUGGUACUUUCAGUGCCCGAGUUGUAAUUUGUAGAAUUUGUCUUUGAUUAGGUCCUUGUCUAUGUUCCUUGGAACAGGACGUCAUAGAGGGUGAGAAUCCCGUUUGGCGAGGAUACCUUUUCUCUGUAAGACUUUUUCGAAGAGUCGAGUUGUUUGGGAAUGCAGCUCAAAGUGGGUGGUAAAUUCCAUCUAAAGCUAAAUAUUGGCGAGAGACCGAUAGCGAACAAGUACAGUGAUGGAAAGAUGAAAAGAACUUUGAAAAGAGAGUGAAAAAGUACGUGAAAUUGUUGAAAGGGAAGGGCAUUUGAUCAGACAUGGUGUUUUUUGCAUGCACUCGCCUCUCGUGGGCUUGGGCCUCUCAAAAAUUUCACUGGGCCAACAUCAAUUCUGGCAGUAGGAUAAAUCAUUAAGAAUGUAGCUACCUCGGUAGUGUUAUAGCUUAUUGGAAUACUGCUAGCUGGGAUUGAGGACUGCGCUUCGGCAAGGAUGUUGGCAUAAUGGUUAAAUGCCGCCCGUCUUGAAACACGGACC
rnacentral:rRNA from 1 species